GGCUGUGCUUAGUAUACUUUGUUGCUAAAACGUGUAAAACCCAAAUUAAAUGGAAAAAACAAAGAUAGUCCAUUCUAUGUUUCUGCCACUCAUAAUCACUGAAAUUGUACCAUUAAGUACUGGAAGACAAUUGAAUAGGAAGAUUAGAACUCUAGGACUGAUCGUUAAUACAUAUUAUUCUAUUAUUAGAAUAAAAGGAAAAUAAAACAUGUAUACACAUAUAAUUAACAUGCAACAUUAUUAUUUAUGGAAAAGUAUAAUUUAGCGUAUAUAAUUUAAAAACAAUGGUAGGGUCAAUUAGUCUAAUCAGAUAUCAGAGUAUCAUAACAUUUCACAUGGCAUGGAAUUUCCUUUUCUUUAUAAAAUAAAGCUUGUCAAAAUCUGGCCAGUUGUUCUAAAAUGUAUAUGUAAAAGGAUGGAACUGAAGGAAAAAUGAAAAAAUAUUUUAAGUUUGCCUCCAUCAUUAAUUUCUCUCAAUAUUAAAAAAAAUCAUCAUGACCAAUACACUAUAAACAAAAAUCAUUACAUUAGUCUUGGAAUUUAGCCUCCGUUGUUAGGGGUUUGGGGGUUUUAUGAAAUAUAGAUAACACAGACCUUUAACAUUCAAUUUGUUUUUAUCUUAUUAUGAUGUCUGUGAAUUACCAUCUACAUAAUUUGAAAUUGCUAGUUACUAAAAUAACUUUUGAAAUGAAUAAUGAAAAAAAAUUUUUGCAGUUUUUUUUUUUAAUGGGGAAAAAUCAACAAUGCAAUUUAAGAAAAUAUUAGUGUAGCAAAUGAACUUAAUAUCAUUCAAUAAGAAAAGCUAGUCAAGCUUAUCUUUAAGGCCCAAGAUUACACCUUGUACCACAGGUAUUCUAUCCAUUUGAACAUGAGCUUUUUUAAUGUCAUCUUAAAACAAUCUCAAACUUGUACUUCAAUUUACUCAACUUUAUAUUACCUGGAUGCUCUUUAGGCAGCAUAUAAUUAACAAAGGUAGUAAAUUCUAAUAACAGAAACAUUUGUAAGAAAUAUUAACACUAAGAAGGUUCCAAAUUCCAGGUGACUACAAACCUGAAAAGAUGUAUUUACUUAUUUAUUUUUAGUGUCUUAAUUUGAUUUUCUCUUUAGUUAAUUUUAGGAGCAAUCAUUUGUCUUUCUUCCCCUCUCUCCUAAAGGAAGAAUACAAUUCAAAUAUGAGUUACAAUCUAACAAUUUUGUAAUUUUUAGUUUGUCAACUCAAAAGGAUUAAUCUUAAACUUGAAUAUUCUAUUCUCUUUUAAAUAACAGUGCACACAUAAAUGACUUAUGAUUUUGUUGCUUAGAAAACCUGAAUUGAAAAACAAAACAAAACAAAAAACAACAAAAAAAGGAAACCUGAAUUAUAGCCAUGCCGCACAAUCAACUGCCAUCUUUUAUAUUGCUUUUGCCUAUUUAUUAGGAGCCUAGGAAAAUUCUCUAAAAAUCUUUUGAAAGGUUUAUAAUUCUCAAUAUUAUUCAUAAAUUUUCAGGUUCUUGGCCACCUCCAUCUUUAUUAUUUGUGAAAGAUAUUCACAACCUAAAAACCAUUACACAAAUAGAUAAAUAUUUAUGUAAUACAUUAAGAAAAAUAUAUUGGGAAGCAACAGCAAUUUAGGAAGAAACAGAUGGCACUUAAACUAAAUAAUACCUGACAUCAAAAUAUAAUCUUAUUAGCUUUUAAGACUAUAAUAGUUCUCUCAAAAACAGUGAUAAAUCUAAUGAAAAAUUAUGUGCUGGAGAAUAUAACCUAAUUUUUUCAAUUUCUAUUUCUUUGACCAUAUUUUAAGUAAAUGUUAUUAUUUUGAAUACAUUUUAAAAUUAAAACAACAAAGUCAAAAUAAUUCAUCUUACUAUAACUUUAAAAUGUCAAAAUGUAAAAUGAUUUCACUAAACUCUAUUCAAAGAAUGGGUGACAACAUUCACCUUCAUUAUUUAAGGUUUAUUGUCAAUUUAACUGACACAGUGAUUUUGCUAGUAAGUAUUAUAUUGAACAUUGAUUAUGUGCAUUUGCAUUUUGCUUGCACUUGACAUUUUAUUAAAUGAGAAUAUACCUGUACCAAAUGCAACAUAAUGAGAUCUGAGGGAAAUAACUGAAUACUUAAUAAAUAUGAAUGUGCAUAAUAAUGAUUUAAAAUUGUUCAUAUGUUCAUUUGUCUUUUUCAAGAUAUGAAAAAUUUUAUCUGAUAUAAAUUACUUUAUAUAAUGUAAAAAGUAAACAUUUAUGCACAAUACUGCAUAGUAUUUAGAGAAAGUGAUUGCCAUGCCCCACAUUAAGGCUGACUCUAAUGGUAGUUAUGAAAAGUUCCAGAGUAUCCUGGUUACCCAUUCCCCUGAAGGGGAAUAAUGUCUAAAGCAGAGUUAGAAGGCUGAUACAACUUUCUGAUUAAUUCAGGCACAUGUGAGCUGGGUCAACCUUUCAUCUCAGGUUUUAAAAUCAGAAAGUCUGUAUGUAGCAACACUGCGUGAAGAAAGGUUUUGUCAAAAUUUGGUUAUGAGAAUGUAAAACAAAAUGCUUUGGAAACCUAUCAAAUAAAUCUAAAUUCCAAGUUUCAUUUCAUUUUGUAUUUAUAUUCUAUGGAGCAGAAUAAUCUAAAUUUUACUUAUGUUUAUGUAGUUGGAGAAGCACUUUUACAGUCAUUUACAACAGUCUUCCCCACCCCAAGAGAUAAUUUGUUUCUCUAUAAUAAUGUUCUAUCAAAACUCUCUUGCGUAAAAUAUUUCUUCCAAUUCUUACAUACCUGAAGAACCAAAUAACAGAAUAACUCAAUUUAAUAAUUUAGUUCUUCAUAGUGAACUACAAUAUGGCAUGGACAAAAACAAAAAACAUUGUCUGAGACAAAACAUUUGCUAAUUUUUUAUACCUCUAGUGUUCAUUCUUGUCAAAUUUUCAAAUUUGUUAAUUCUAUAGCAACUGAUAGUACAAAACAGAUACAUUCUCUCCUGCCUUUCCUGAAACAUAGAAAAGAUGGAAAUAUAGAAAUAAUUUUCAUACAUGAUACAUAGUAAAAUAUGCUCAUAGUAUGUACUAUGGAGAUGGGAGUAGCACUGAUGUGCAACAAGGCAGUCUCAAAACAGGUUACCAACUCCUAUAUUAGCUAGUGAUUUAUAUAAAAUACUAUCUAGUCUAAAAUGUUGAGAGCUAGUAAUACUAGGCAAUUAUGCUUCUUUUUUUUUGUUUUUUGCCACUAACUAUAAAAAGCUUACCCUAAAUUUACUAAGUAUCCUAUACCCUGAGAAAUAAUUACACACUAAUAAAAGAAAUGUCAGGGUUAGCAUCACUGACUAUAUUAUUUGGGAAGCAUAAACUGUCUACACUUAAUAUUCUUGGAAGCACAGGAUUUCUUGAGUAGACUAUGCUACCUCACUAUUGUAAUUUAUGUUUCUGAUUAAAGAGUUUGGGUUCUGAUAGUGGUAACAAGGAAGUAAGCCUGAGCCUGAUUAAUUAAUAGUACCAAAGGUUGGUAUGGGAGGCAAGCUCAAAGGACUAAAUUCCCAGAAUCAUAAUUUGUUCAUUGUUUGCUUAGCCUACAAAACAUACUGUAUGUUGAUGGCUCUAACACUUCCUUGUAAAGCACUUUUGGAUCUUGGGUAAGAAAAGUGUUAUUAAGCCACAAAGUAUUACUUAAAAUUAUUUUUUCUUUUACUACUUGUACCUCUUUAACAAUCACAUUUAAAAUUUUCUUUUGUAUAAUUUUAUAUUUUUUCAGUUGUUUUGUAUCAAAAGCCUGAAAUUCUGAAUGCACUAAGGCUUUGAAUAAACCAAUACAGCAAGGAUUAACUUAAAAUAAUGCUGUUCUUUCUUUUAGAACGCAAUACACAGCUCCUUUUGUAAAAAGGUUGCAUGGUAACCCUUAAAAAUACAUAGAUAGUUGUUUAAGUGGAUUACCUCAAACGGGGGAAAAAAAUUUGGUUGUAUGGAAAUAACCAAUUCUUGGUAAAGGGCUUAGAAACCUCAAUUACUACAUACAUAAAAUAUCCUCUCUGUCCAAGUCAACAACCUAUAACACAAGAAAUGACAAUCCCUUUACUAAAAAGUCUACUGAAAUCAAGAAUUAUUAAUAUCCAGUAAUUUAUAUCUUUCUUCCUUGGACACUUUAGCUGUCAAUAUUCUUCAAAUUGUUAUUGGCUUCUGCCUCUAAAAUUAGAUUUAAAUAAUUAUACUCCUGCUUCAAAGAAUACAGGCAUUCUGAUAAACAAAAUUAUGUUUUAUGUUAAAAGUUAUGUUUUAAAUCCUCAAAAACAAAGGAGAACUAAUAGGCUGUAAAGAAAGGAACAAUUUAAGAGUCAACCAUUUAGUUCAAGUCUUUUUAUUUAAGAGGUAAAAAAAAUGAGGGCCAGAAGUUAAGUGACUUGCACAAGCCACACAGGUAGUAAAAAACUAGCAGAUGAAUUUUAAAUUUAGGGCUCUUUUUACUAUAUCUUUCCAUAGGUCUGAUUAUGGCUUUCUUUUUUACAACUUAUAUGUUGACUAAAAUUUUCCACUGAUUUCUAUAGCUCAACUCCUUCCUCCAUAAAAUAGGACUCUAGAGCACAUUGUACACUGGGGAUGAGGCACUCUAAGGUACUAAUAGAUGUAAAGUAAAUUCAUCUGAGAAUCUCGUAUGAAAAUAAAAAGAUGCAACUAUCAAAAAUUAUUUUAAUUCUCUUGCAAAAUUUGCUUCAUGGAAAUUUUUUUUUAAAUUUAAGGACAUGUUAACACAGUUGAUUCGAAAUAUCUUCUGGAGGAAAAGAUCAUAUAAAUGACUAUACUUGUCUUGGUAAAAUGUUACUAUUUUCCUCUAGAAAAUAAAGAAACUGAGGCACAGGAGACAAUGACAAUCCAACAAGUUUAGCAUUAGAUCACAUACAUUACUGGGUGGGGGAAAAAAAAAAGAUGGGAAUUAGAAAUUAUUUUUCUUGCAUCACAAUGCAUCUUAAAAAUAAAUCAAAAGCAUGUAUGUAUUUGUAUAUAUGUAAAUAGUAUACAUAUAAGUAUAUAUGUGUGUAUAUCUCUGGUCAACUGGAAGUGACCUAAACACAUCAUAUGACCUGAACUCAAGGAACACUCCAAACAUGUUACAUGGGCACUUCUUUGAGAAGCACACACAAAAAGCCACUGUAGAAAAAAGAUGCCAUUUCUUAUAUGUUAAUGAAUUUUGGAAUAGAUCAGUACGAACAAAAAUCCUCAUUUUAUAACACGACGGCAGCAAUCCAAAUCAGUUAUUUUAUUUUUUCUUUUUCUGAUUCUAACUUCAUGGGACCUUAAAUUAAAUUUCCAAAGCAGGAAUGAGAAAAAAAGACUUUUAAAGUCUAGAUUAGCUUCCCUAAUGACACAGUAGUGAGUUUAAGAAAUAUUUGAAAAGACAGAUUUUGUUGUUCACAAAUUGAGAAAAAAAGCAAACGGAUAUAUCUAAUAUAUAUCUCAACAAACAGGUAAACCUCACAGGUACAAAAAUAUUGCCCUCUUAAGAUCUGAUUCUGACACAUUAAAAGAGUCAAAGGAGUGAAAACUGGCUUUAGAACUUUCAGGCACUUUUUAACAACUAUGCCUGGAAGAAUACUUAACCAAUGUUCAUAUCACCUUUCCCAAAUGGGAUGUUAAACCAGAACCUAAAUAAAAAUUUCCAGUUGUGAAAGAUAUUUUUCAAAUAUGUAGAUUUACACACACAUAUACAUAUAUUGCUGAAAUUAAUCAUUUCAUUAUCGUCUUUGAGAGGCAAAGCGGUAGGAGAUAGAGAGCUGACCCCAAAACCAGUUAGACCAGAAUUUGUCUUGCCUCGGUCAUGUGAUCCUUGGCAAAUCACCUAAAUUCUCAAUGUUCUAGGCAACUAUCUAAAGUUGUAAAUUGAACUUGAAUUGGAAGAGGGUAUUUCCUCACUAUCUCAUAUUCUAAGUAUUUCAUGAACAAAACACACAGUAUAGUUUGUAAAUAAUGCAUCUGAAAAACAGAAAACCUUCGGGGAGGGGGAAAAACCCUAAGAUUUACAAGGCUAGUUUAAUUUCAUUUAGGGUCAUUCUGAAUUCCUGACUAUGGGUGCUACUUUGGCUGCAUUUUUUGCCAUGAGGAUGAGGUGGCCUUUUUAUAUAGAGAAUAGCCACUCUGCUUAUAGACAUCCCCCCCUUUUACUUUUAUAGAAAAAAAGGGCCUAUUUUAAUAUACAACCUUCUAUCACAAAGGAUCUUAUUUAUUCCCAUUUCUCUAUUACUGUUUCCUGUUAAAGAAUUAUUUGUACUAUACUACUAGAGUUUGUUAAGAAUCAAUGCCACUUACAAUAAAAUUUGUAGAGGGCUGAAACUCUUGAAUCGAUGCACUGAGGUCAGGACAGCCAAGCAGGAGGCUAACUAUCGAUUGGACAAUACUUUUAUGGGGAUAUGCUUGGAAAAAUGGCCCUUCCCACUAUCCUGUGUUGGCUCGAUGAUUGGUGUAUACAGAAGAUUGUAGGAGGGACUAGAGGGUGUAGUAAAACUAGCCAGACUCACUUUGGCCGUGGACGAGGAAGAAGGCAGUUGAAGAGCUCCUACUUGCAUCCUCUUCACUCCUACCCCUAAAGACCAAGAAUAAAGACUAAGGACUUUUGUUUAUCCUGACUCUGGCUGAUUCUAAGGUAUCCUGGGUGCUAGUGUGGUCAUCACAGAAAUCGUUGGGGGUUUUUGGCAGAGGAAUCCCUUGGGCUCACACGUAUCCUUACUUUUUUUUUUUUUAAAGUGAACAUAACACAUGCUGAUUAUAGAAAAAAAUUAGCACAGAAAUUUCUGACACCAAGCACUUCCUUCUCUCCAUCAAUAAUCACUCAUUGCUCUAAACUUCCUAAAAAGACAGGAGACCAAUGCAGAUUUAAGAAUGGAAUUAUUUCAAUUAGGGAUAUGACAGAGCCUUGAAAUACCUGAAGGCUAUCCAUACUAAAAUGGAAGUUGUUCUAAAGAAGGUAUAAGAAAGUUCUGAAUUCAUAAGAACAUUUUUAAGGAUGGAAAAACUAGGCCAAAAAGUUUCAUUUUGCUACUGAAAAAUUCCAGUAAUUUUUCUCAAAUAUUCAUGAAAAUGUGAGAAGUCUAUUAUUGAGGACAUUCAAAAUUAAGCUUAGAAAAUAAACUGAAAUUAAUACUAUAUGUUGGCAAUAGUUGGCUAUGUACACUAGCAGGAUGGAUUGAACCUGCUAUAUCUUCUCCACCUCUAUGUAACCACUAAGAAAGAAUCUGAAGCUAUGAUUAAUCAUAGAGGUCAAGACCCUGAGGUAUUAGAUUCAGGAACUUCUGCUGAAAAGGGCUUUGUGUAUUAGGGCAUAGGAUUAUAUAUUCAUAAGGAUAUACAUUGAAAGGUCUGAAAAAGAGCCACUUUUGCCCCAAGAAAGAAGCCCAGCAGCAAGUGGUCACACUUUUAAGGUCUCUAGGUCUACUAAGGCCAGGCUGGCCAAUAUUUCCUGGGACCCUGUUAAGGCUCACUGUCUGAUUGUCACUCAACAGAGCUAUGAUGCCAAAAUAAAAGAUAAAUGUCAUAACCCCUGAAAAGAAAUUUAUCUCAAUUACAAGAUCACAGGCUUUACAGUUGGAAAGAACCAAUGAUUUCAUUUACAGGUUAAAAAACAAAAACCAAAAACUGAGGUCUAGGAGCUAAAGUGACUUGCCCAAAGUUAUCAGAUAGUAAGUAGUAGAGAUGGGAAAUCAUGAUCUUAAAUUCAAAAUCCAGGACUUUUUCCACUAUCCUAUACUGCCUUAAAGUUAAUCUGAGAUUUUCAUAAGAAUGAAAUAACAGGAAUCUAUCUUUCUCCUGGAUCCUUUUUUCCCCACAUUGAGAAAGUGAAACUUGGAAACAAAGGAGGUAGGGUAAGGUUGCAUUUCUUGUUCUACUGCUCACAUCCCUCCCCAAGAGCCAGGGGUUUGAAAGUAUUCUCAUCUUGGUCAGCAACUUCUGUCAAUUUGUUACUAAUAGAACUGAUCUUACACAUAUAUCCUUCCUGGUUCUUUUUCUGUGAGACAAGAAAGAAAGGUGGGGUACUUUUUGUGAAGGAAUACAGAAAGGAAAACAAUAUAAAAACAAAAAAGAGAGUAAAUGAUAAGAAAUAACAAAGGGUUAUGACAAAAAGGAACAAAUAAUGAAGAAGGAGAAAAAAAUUAGCUAUAGAUGGACACUUAAAAUUAGCAAAAUAAAACACAGGGAGAAUAGUAUUUCCCUCUACUAUUUUCAACCCUUGAGGUUCAAGGAAAGCAAGAAAGAUACCCUUGGACUGAAUCCUUGGUUUUAAAAUAUCUAUAAAUAGAGUCUUUGACAAUGGAUAUAAGUAAAUGUUUUAACUUAUUUCUUAAAAUGCCCCUACAUUUAUUUUUUCUCAGAAUCUUUAAUAUUUACCUCAUUAGAAUUUUCAAAAAUAAAAUAAUGGUUUGUUGAUUUGGUAAAUCAAUAAAGUAAAUUUAAGGUGAACUUUUUACAAACAAAUUUCCCUGCUUAUUUAUUUAUUUUUGCUGAGGGAAUUAAUGGGGUUAAGUGACUUUCCCAGGGUCACACAGCUAGGAAAUAUUAAGUGUCUGAGGCUGCAUUUGAAGUCAGGUUCUCCUGACUUUAAGGAGGGUGCUUUAUCCACUGUGCUAUCUAGCUCCCCCUAAAUUUCCCUGUUUAAUUAAUCUGAUUUCCCAAGCCAACAAAUCUAUGAAGGAAGAUAGUAAGAAUUAAAUACAACAAAAACAAAAACUUAACUUGGUACAAAACACCUAAUUACAAGGGUUUAAGUUGGGUGUUUGUAGCCUAUGCCAAUUAAAAGGAAAAAUAACCAGAAUGAAUAAUAAAAAUAAUUUUCUACUACUACAGUAAUAAAACUCUUAGAGUAUAAAAUUAAUAAUCCUUUGAUAAAUUGGUUAUCUCUGAAAAGGGUCUUAUGCUUAAAACCCA
rnacentral:lncRNA from 1 species